rnacentral:rRNA from 1 species
UACAGAGGUCUCAAGCGUUGUUCGGAUUCAUUGGGCGUAAAGGGUGUGUAGGUGGCGCGCUAAGUCGGGUGUGAAAUUUCGGAGCUUAACUCCGAAACUGCAUUCGAUACUGGCGUGCUUGAGGACUGGAGAGGAGACUGGAAUUCAUGGUGUAGCAGUGAAAUGCGUAGAGAUCAUGAGGAAGACCAGGGGCGAAGGCGGGUCUCUGGACAGUUCCUGACACUGAGACACGAAGGCUAGGGGAGCAAACGGG